ACUCUGUGACUCUGAGAGUCAAAACAAACUCACCAAUCUCCAUAAAUGAUUCCUUGAAAUGUUUUUACCCAGAAAUAAAUAAAUAUGCCUAUUUAAAAAGGCAUUUCAUAAUCAUAUUAACCGAAAUGUGAUAUAGAAAAUAAAGAUUCACGAGCGCAUAUAUUUUAAAAGUAGUGGAAUUCAUUUGACAGCCCAAUGUUUCCGCCACUUGUAGAGAGACGAGUAAAUUAAUAGCCGCCGCUUUCAGUAUAUAUUUGUGUAUCGUGAUUGUAUCAAGUGAAAUGAAGUUAUUCCGUGGGUGUCAAUUUUUUCUUGGUAACAAAUAGACGAUUAUCUUCCUCGGCGCAAGUAAAUAGGAAGGGGUGUGUGUGUACGAGUAUGUACCUCUUUGCAACGAUUUUUUGUCGAUGCUUAGUUUGUGGAAGAUAUCGGAUGUUGACCCUAUCUUCCGAAAGGCUGUUUCUUUGUAUUCUGCCUUAAAAACAAGAACAUUUGAUGUGGCGUCACCCAUUAUUUUUUCGACAGGACAUGUAAUAAAGGUAAAGUGAAACCCAGCAAAUUCAGCCAUUGAAAAGGCACAGAAAUGGAAGGACAAAUCGAAAUUUUGCAUAUUGUACGAGCCCACUGGCAAUAACUGUUUUG